GGGUUGUGAGGUUAAGCGACUAAGCGUACACGGUGGAUGCCCUGGCAGUCAGAGGCGAUGAAGGGCGUGCUAAUCUGCGAUAAGCGCCGGUAAGGUGAUAUGAACCGUUAUAACCGGCGAUACCCGAAUGGGGAAACCCAGUGUGACUCGUCACACUAUCAUUAACUGAAUCCAUAGGUUAAUGAGGCGAACCGGGGGAACUGAAACAUCUAAGUACCCCGAGGAAAAGAAAUCAACCGAGAUUCCCCCAGUAGCGGCGAGCGAACGGGGAGGAGCCCAGAGCCUGAAUCAGCAUGUGUGUUAGUGGAAGCGUCUGGAAAGGCGCGCGAUACAGGGUGACAGCCCCGUACACAAAAGCGCAUGUGCUGUGAGCUCGAUGAGUAGGGCGGGACACGUGGUAUCCUGUCUGAAUAUGGGGGGACCAUCCUCCAAGGCUAAAUACUCCUGACUGACCGAUAGUGAACCAGUACCGUGAGGGAAAGGCGAAAAGAACCCCGGCGAGGGGAGUGAAAAAGAACCUGAAACCGUGUACGUACAAGCAGUGGGAGCACCCUUGGGGUGUGACUGCGUACCUUUUGUAUAAUGGGUCAGCGACUUAUAUUCUGUAGCAAGGUUAACCGUAUAGGGGAGCCGUAGGGAAACCGAGUCUUAACCGGGCGUUAAGUUGCAGGGUAUAGACCCGAAACCCGGUGAUCUAGCCAUGGGCAGGUUGAAGGUUGGGUAACACUAACUGGAGGACCGAACCGACUAAUGUUGAAAAAUUAGCGGAUGACCUGUGGCUGGGGGUGAAAGGCCAAUCAAACCGGGAGAUAGCUGGUUCUCCCCGAAAGCUAUUUAGGUAGCGCCUCGUGAAUUCAUCUCCGGGGGUAGAGCACUGUUUCGGCUAGGGGGCCAUCCCGGCUUACCAACCCGAUGCAAACUGCGAAUACCGGAGAAUGUUAUCACGGGAGACACACGGCGGGUGCUAACGUCCGUCGUGAAGAGGGAAACAACCCAGACCGCCAGCUAAGGUCCCAAAGUCAUGGUUAAGUGGGAAACGAUGUGGGAAGGCCCAGACAGCCAGGAUGUUGGCUUAGAAGCAGCCAUCAUUUAAAGAAAGCGUAAUAGCUCACUGGUCGAGUCGGCCUGCGCGGAAGAUGUAACGGGGCUAAACCAUGCACCGAAGCUGCGGCAGCGA
rnacentral:rRNA from 1 species